AUUUGCUUUAUUCCUCCAGGAACUGUACUGAGUGCUGAUGUGCCAGUGCUAUGAUUUAUUUCUGGGAAGCCCAGCGGGGGAACCUCACAGAGCGAGUGAAGACGCUUUUCCUGGCUGAGAACAGCGUGAAGCUCAAGAACUUGACUGGCUACACGGCCUACAUGGUCAGCGUGGCCGCCUUCAACGCCGCUGGGGAUGGGCCUCGGAGCACCCCCACCCAAGGCCAGACCCAGCAAGCAGCCCCCAGCGCUCCCAGCUCGGUCAAGUUCAGUGAGCUGACCACAACCUCAGUGAACGUGUCCUGGGAAGCCCCGCAGUUCCCCAACGGCAUCCUGGAGGGCUACAGGCUGGUGUACGAGCCCUGCAGCCCCGUGGAUGGAGUCAGCAAGAUCGUGACAGUGGACGUGAAGGGGAACAGCCCUCUGUGGCUGAAGGUGAAGGACCUGGCGGAGGGGGUGACCUACAGGUUCCGCAUCAGAGCCAAGACCUUCACCUACGGGCCGGAGAUCGAAGCCAACGUCACCACGGGCCCCGGAGAAGGUGCCCCAGGACCGCCUGGCGUGCCCAUCAUCGUGCGGUACAGCUCUGCCAUCGCCAUCCACUGGUCCAGCGGAGACCCGGGCAAAGGGCCCAUCACCCGCUACGUCAUCGAGGCCAGGCCUUCAGACGAGGGACUAUGGGACAUCCUCAUCAAAGACAUCCCCAAGGAGGUGAGCUCCUACACAUUCAGCAUGGACAUCCUGAAGCCGGGCGUGAGCUAUGACUUCCGGGUCAUCGCGGUCAACGACUACGGCUUCGGCACCCCCAGCAGCCCCUCCCAGUCUGUGCCAGCCCAGAAAGCCAACCCCUUCUAUGAGGAGUGGUGGUUCUUGGUGGUCAUUGCCCUGGUCGGCCUCAUCUUCAUCCUGCUUCUGGUCUUCGUGCUCAUCAUCCGGGGCCAGAGCAAGAAGUACGCCAAGAAGACAGACUCGGGGAACAGUGCCAAGUCUGGAGCCCUAGGCCACAGCGAGAUGAUGAGCUUGGAUGAAAGCAGCUUCCCUGCCCUGGAACUCAACAACAGGCGGCUCUCCGUCAAGAACUCUUUCUGCCGAAAGAACGGCCUGUACACCAGGUCUCCCCCCAGGCCCAGCCCGGGCAGCCUGCACUACUCAGAUGAGGAUGUCACCAAGUACAACGACCUCAUCCCUGCAGAGAGCAGCAGCCUGACCGAGAAGCCCUCAGAAAUCUCCGACUCUCAGGGAAGUGACAGCGAGUACGAGGUCGACUCAAACCACCAGAAGGCCCACUCCUUUGUCAACCACUACAUCAGUGACCCCACAUACUACAACUCGUGGCGGCGACAGCAGAAGGGCAUCUCGAGGGCACAGGCCUACAGCUACACGGAGAGCGACUCGGGUGAGCCAGACCACGCCGCCGUCACCAACAGCACCAGCACCCAGCAGGGCAGCCUCUUUCGGCCCAAGGCCAGUCGGACUCCAACGCCCCAGAACCCCCCUAACCCCGCAAGUCAGCAGAGCACCCUCUACCGUCCCCCCAGCAGCCUGGCCCCAGGCUCCCGGGCUCCCAUAGCAGGAUUUUCAUCAUUUGUUUGACAUCAGAAGAGGAAAAAGCAAGAAAGAGAAAUGGCACCAAACUCCUCCUUCACCCCUCCUCUCACCGCCUGCCAGAAAACAAAAACACCAAGAAACCAAGUCAACUUUUCACCUCCUGAGUUUAUUUUUCCAGAGAUUCCAGGGC
rnacentral:sRNA from 1 species